GCAAGUCGAACGUACUCCCUUCGGGGAGAAAGUAGGCGAAAGGGUGAGUAACACGUGAGCAACCUGCCUCCGGAUCCGGAAUAAUCCAGGGAAACUUGGUCUAAAACCGGAAUGAAGACGAUUGGGCCGCAUGGUCUAAUGUUAAAAUAUUUAUAGUCCGGAGAGGGGCUCGCGGCCCAUUAGCUUGUUGCGGGGUAAUGGCCACCAAGGCUACGACGGGUAGGUGGUCUGAGAGGAUGGUCACCCACACUGGGACUGAGACACUGCCCAGACUCCUACGGGAGGCUGCGGUCGAGAAUCUUCCGCAAUGGGCGCAAGCCUUGAUGGAGCGAUGCCGCGUGAGGGAUGAAGGCCUUCGGGUUGUAAACCUCUGUCAUCCGGGACGAAAACAAUGACGGUACCGGAAAAGGAAGCCACGGCUAACCACGUGCCAGCAGCUGC
rnacentral:rRNA from 1 species